rnacentral:tRNA from 1 species
UGUGGCAGGUUGGGCGGUGCUUGGUCGUUUGAUCCCAGUCUCUUUUGGCAUGAUAUUCGCGCUUUCUGGCGCAGUAGGUCCCAUUG